CCCUUAGAUGUCCUGGGCCGCACGCGUGCUACACUGACGCAUACAGCGAGCACUUUCCAGUUCCGAGAGGCUACUGGUAAUCAUCGAUAUGCGUCGUGAUGGGGAUAGAUCUUUGGAAUUCUGGAUCUUGAACGAGGAAUGCCUAGUAAUCGCAGGUCAUUAGCCUGCGAUGAUUAAGUCCCUGCCCUUUGUACACACCGCCCGUCGCUACUACCGAUUUCGAGUGGUCAGGUGAAUCUUUCGGACUGUGGGCGCCCUUGAGGUGUUCGCGGAAAGUCAGGUAAAUCUUAUCACUUAGAGGAAGUAAAAGUCGUAACA
rnacentral:rRNA from 1 species